rnacentral:rRNA from 1 species
UCUGGUUCAGGAUGAACGCUAGCGGCAGGCUUAACACAUGCAAGUCGAGGGCAGCGGGAUGUAGCAAUACAUUGCCGGCGACGGCGGAUGGGUGCGUAACGCGUAUGCAACCUACCUUAUACAGGGGAAUAACCUUUCGAAAGGGAGACUAACACCCCAUAGUAUUGAUUUAAGGCAUCUUAGAUUAAUUAAAUAUUUAUAGGUAUAAGAUGGGCAUGCGUAUGAUUAGCUAGUUGGUAAGGUAACGGCUUACCAAGGCGACGAUCAUUAGGGGUUCUGAGAGGAAGGUCCCCCACACUGGUACUGAGACACGGACCAGACUCCUACGGGAGGCAGCAGUGAGGAAUAUUGGUCAAUGGGCGCAAGCCUGAACCAGCCAUGCCGCGUGCAAGGAAGACGGCCUUAUGGGUUGUAAACUGCUUUUACAUAAGACUAACCGUAUAUUUGCGAAUAUACCUGAAUGUAUUAUGAGAAUAAGGAUCGGCUAACUCCGUGCCAGCCGCCGC